CUGAAUUGAGCCACCUGUUCCCAUACAAUCAUCAAAGUUAAGCAACAUCAAGCCUGGUCAGUAACUAGAUGGGUGACCACUUGGGAAUACCAGGUAUUGUAAG